CCUACGGGUGGCAGCAGUGAGGAAUAUUGGUCAAUGGGCGUAAGCCUGAACCAGCCAAGCCGCGUGAGGGAUGAAGGUACAAUGGAUCGUAAACCUCUUUUAUAAGGGAAUAAAGUGCGGGACGUGUCCCGUGUUGUAUGUACCUUAUGAAUAAGGAUAGGCUAACUCCGUGCCAGCAGCCGCGGUAAUACGGAGGAUCCGAGCGUUAUCCGGAUUUAUUGGGUUUAAAGGGUGCGUAGGCGGCCUUUUAAGUCAGCGGUGAAAGUCUGUGGCUCAACCCUAGACUUGCCGUUGAAACUGGUAGGCUUGAGUUUGUUUGAGGCAGGCGGAAUGCGUGUUGUAGCGGUGACAUGCUUAGAUAUCACGCAGAACCCCGAUUGCGCAGGCAGCCUGCCAGGCCAUGACUGACGCUGAUGCACGAAAGCGUGGGGAUCAAACAGGAUUAGAUACCCCUGUAGUC
rnacentral:rRNA from 1 species